rnacentral:rRNA from 1 species
GACGAACGCUGGCGGCGUGCUUAACACAUGCAAGUCGAACGGAAAGGCCCUGCCUUUGUGGGGUGCUCGAGUGGCGAACGGGUGAGUAACACGUGAGUAACCUGCCCUUGACUUUGGGAUAACUUCAGGAAACUGGGGCUAAUACCGGAUAGGAGCUCCUGCUGCAUGGUGGGGGUUGGAAAGUUUCGGCGGUUGGGGAUGGACUCGCGGCUUAUCAGCUUGUUGGUGGGGUAGUGGCUUACCAAGGCUUUGACGGGUAGCCGGCCUGAGAGGGUGACCGGCCACAUUGGGACUGAGAUACGGCCCAGACUCCUACGGGAGGCAGCAGUGGGGAAUAUUGCACAAUGGGCGGAAGCCUGAUGCAGCAACGCCGCGUGCUGGAUGACGGCCUUCGGGUUGUAAACCGCUUUCGCCUGUGACGAAGCGUGAGUGACGGUAAUGGGUAAAGAAGCACCGGCUAACUACGUG